UCAUCCUCUUUUGCUGAAGAAGAAGAAAAAAAGAGGAGGACUGUUGCCAUCGCCGCCUCGUUGGUGGCCGUCGCUCUGGUGCUCGUCCUCGUGGCCAUCGUCGUCGUCAUCAAGUGUCAUCCACGCAAAGCAGACGAUUACGCACCAGCGAGUGCCGAAGUGCCGAGCUCGCCGAAAAGGUCAAAAGCGGUGCAAAACACAGCGGCCGGCGCAACACCGUGACAACGUUUCAUGGACACGAUAAAGAACUUAUGCCUCUGGGUUUUGUGAUCAUGUCUGUCUGCACAUGUUGCUCCAAGGUCUGCUCCAAGGGCCACAGCAGCUAUCCAUGCUAAUCGUUGGGCCACAACGGCGGUUUCCAUUAUUUGUGAGCCUUCAGCUAUCGGUGUCUUUCUGAAAGAAAAGUUGUUUGUUUAUUUUAAACACACAAAAUGCAA